rnacentral:rRNA from 1 species
CUUUAAGAGACUGCCGGUGUUAAACCGGAGGAAGGUGGGGAUGACGUCAAGUCCUCAUGGCCUUUAUGCUUAGGGCUACACACGUGCUACAAUGGGUGGUACAAAGAGAAGCCAACUCGCGAGAGCGCGCCAAUCUCAAAAAGCCAUCCUCAGUUCGGAUUGGAGUCUGCAACUCGACUCCAUGAAGUUGGAAUCGCUAGUAAUCGCGGAUCAGCAUGCCGCGGUGAAUACGUUCCCGGGCCUU